UUAAGAGAAGCUGCACCGAGCUACUUUAAAGUCCCAAUUUCUUAUUUGCAAAGCAUGAAACACUUUGAUACAGUUCAGCACACUGUCCCAUCUUAUCAAAGCUGAAUGCAUCAAUUAUCCAAACUCGGCCAGAUCCACAGACGGCCACAGAGCAGCCACCUUUGCACAGGCGUCAGGACUGAACGCUUUGGUCCCCUCCAUAUCCUCAUAGAGACGAGGUCAAGCCGCCAUUCUUGCUCAGCUGGCCCUAAUAUGUGACGUCGUCAAACAUCCCACCGGUGGGAUGAAAGAAGUGGACCGGUCCGCCCCCGUCCUGGUGGUCAGAUUAUGUUGACAGAACUCAAGACUCAGGCAGUUGGGUUGCCUAAGAGGAACUUUGGAGAGAUAAAUCUUUAUUUGUCUCAAUGGCAGAUGACAGUGGCUCCUCUUCUUGUUUGUCUUCCUGCCUGGGGACAUCCAGCCUGUCUAUGAAGCUUUGCAGCUCCUUCCUGAAGGCCUUCAUCUGAGCGUUGAUACGUUCCCCGUUGGUGACAAACACCCGGGCCUCUGCGAUGAUAGUGCUGGUAUCAGUGAUGAGCCUAUCGAUGGUCCGACCCAGCCUCUCCGCCUCAAUGCGGAUGUCUAUCAUCUGUUGUCGGUCCUUCAGGCUCCGGGAUAAAAAACGACUAUCCACAGGGCCCUCACGCUUACGAUGGGGCGGGAGGAGGCGAGGGGAGGAUGCUGAUGCCGAAGGGUUGUCAUCGUCCCGUCCUCCGUCACUCUCUGCGUCACUGUCCCGAGGGCUGCCACGGAUGCCCAGCUAAAUUCCUGCGGAGGAGUUCAGCUUCGUCUUCCACCAGCUGCAGCUGCUGCCUGAGCUCUGACAGAGCCUCGCCCUGCUCUCUGCACUGCUGACCUCCACUGCCGGAGCUGUCCACUCCUGAUGCGACCAUGCUAGGAGAGGAGCAGAAAAGGGCAACAAUAACUUUCGGCCUUCAGACCUCUGUUCUCCACCUCAAGCUCCACUAUCUUCCUCCCCAAGAUGUUCGCCUCUUCCUCCACAAGGCGUAAGCGGAGUUUAAGCUCUGAUUCUCG